AGUCCAGAUGACUGGAGCGAACCAUGGCAACAUGUUCAGCUGAAAAACUUUGGCGAUCAGCCUUUCAAAAAGAUUACAUACACAACUCUCCUAUUGCUGAUGGUUUGUUGUGCAUCAGGAGUAACUGGAAACCAAGUCGUCCGAGAGGAUCAUUUAGGCAAACAUAACCAUGAACAUAAUGCAAAUAUGUUCCUUGGCUCUGAGGACAAAGAUGAAAUACAGAAACUCAGCCCAUCUCAGCA